AACGAACGCUGGCGGCGUGGAUAAGACAUGCAAGUCGAACGGGAUUACUUCUAGUAGCAAUACCGGGAGUAAUUUAGUGGCGAACGGGUGCGUAACACGUGGGCAAUCUGCCAAAAAGUGGGGGAUAGCUCGCCGAAAGGCGAAUUAAUACCGCAUGUGGUGAAGGGAUACAUCUUUCUGAAUCCAAAACCGGGGCAACCUGGCGCUUUUUGAGGCGCCCGCGGCCUAGCAGCUGGUUGGUGAGGUAACGGCUCACCAAGGCGAUGACGGGUAGCUGGUCUGAGAGGACGACCAGUCACACUGGAACUGAGACACGGUCCAGACACCUACGGGUGGCAGCAGUCGAGAAUUUUUCUCAAUGGGGGAAACCCUGAAGGAGCGACGCCGCGUGGAGGAUGAAGGCUUUCGGGUUGUAAACUCCUGUCAUUUGGGAACAAUGCGCAUUUAUUAACUGUAGAUGCGUUGAUAGUACCAGAAGAGGAAGGGACGGCUAACUCUGUGCCAGCAGCCGCGGUAAGAC
rnacentral:rRNA from 1 species